CAUUUCACUGUGUUCCACAGUGAAAUGUGAUAAGUAAUGUGAAUUGCAGAAUUCAGUGAAUCAUUGAAUCUUUGAACGCACCUUGCGCCUUUUGGUAAUCCAAGAGGUACACCUGUUUGAGUGUCAU
rnacentral:rRNA from 1 species